AGACGGGGGCGUAACUUGAAGUGGGCUUAACUUGAAGUAGGAGGCGUAACUUGAAGUUGUCCAAAUCACACAGAACCAUGCGAGACCUCAAAACGAUAAGUUAUUGGCAAUAUGGCGGCACAGAGUAGAAUAUUGAUUAAGUUUUAAGGGAGGCAGGGGUUUUAGGCAGGAUUUGAUGCAUGUUGUGUGUGUAGAUAUUAAUGUUAGGGGACAAUGUGAGAGUGUACGUUUUAGUAGGAAAACAUAUUAUCUGACCCACACUCCGGAACAGAAGAGGGCGGUAAUGCACCAAUAAGCUGGAUGCCAACCGCCGUUAAACUGGAAAGAAGACAAAUAUGACAGCUUGCUGUGAGAGACAACGGGACAGAUGAGACACACGUGUGUUUAUCUGCUGUAGAGUAACUGAUGAAGGAAUGCUACCAUCAAAGGAUUUGUAUCUUUUGUGGUGGAGCAGGACCUGCAAGGAAAGGUGAAAAAGAGGGAAAACCUGAAACAAAAGAAUAAUGUAAUGACUUUUUGUAUUGUGUAUGUGUAUUUUUGUAGGACAUGAACAUGUCUGUAGACUGGUGUGUGCACUGAGGAUGGAGAAGACCACAGCAUCAUCCUGGAAAUGAUCGAGAGUCACAGAUGAGACGCUCCAUCACUCCAGCUCUUACUGUCUCAUCAGGACCAGAUGCUGCUGUGGUGUCUUCAUCCUCAGUGACCUCAGAGCCAGCGAGAGCAUCUAGAGAAAGACCACAAGACACUGAGGAUGUGAUUUUGGUAAUGUUUGUUCAGCUGGUUAAUGUUUAAACAAUGAAGGCUGACUUUCAGAAGCUUCAAAAGCAUCAUCAAAAAAUGUGAUGGAGCUUUUAUCUGAAGUGAUUGACAGUGCUCUUAUUACAGGGGCCUACAAUCCCCUGAUCAACCUGGAGAAGAGAGCCUUGCUCAAGGACACACUGGUGUUCCUGUGGCUCAAGUGGUAGAGUAUUGUGUUAGCAGUGCAAGGUUGUGUGUUCGAAUACCAGGGAUCA